GUGGCAAUAGUUUAGUGGUAAGAAUUUCAUGUUGUGGUUGUGGAGACUUGGGCUCAAAUCUCAGUAGCCACA
rnacentral:tRNA from 1 species